rnacentral:misc_RNA from 1 species
AACGCACGAGACCUGCGGACCUGCGGAAGGAUCAUUAAUGAGAAACUGCCCCUCGCGGGUAGAUCUCCCACCCUUUGUAAACUUACCUUUGUUGCUUUGGCAGGCCCGUCUCCGGACCGCCGGCUUCGGCUGGCCAGUGCCUGCCAGAGGAUACUAAAACUCUGUCUGUCAGUGUUGUCUGAGUCUAUAUACAAUCGUUAAAACUUUUAGCAACGGAUCUCUAGAUCGGAAGAGCACACG